rnacentral:tRNA from 1 species
GUUGCUGUAGCUUAACUUUAAAGCAUAGCACUGAAAAUGCUAAAAUGGUACAACCCACCAACA